GUGGGGAAUAUUGGGCAAUGGGCGAAAGCCUGACCCAGCAACGCCGCGUGAGGGAAGAAGGCCUUCGGGUUGUAAACCUCUGUCCUUGGUGACGAAAAAAAUGACGGUAGCCAAGGAGGAAGCCCCGGCUAACUACGUGCCAGCAGCCGCGGUAAUACGUAGGGGGCGAGCGUUGUCCGGAAUUACUGGGCGUAAAGGGUGCGUAGGUGGCCUUUUAAGUUGGAUGUGAAAUACCCGGGCUUAACUUGGGGGGUGCAUCUAAUACUGGAGGGCUAGAGUGCAGGAGAGGGAAGCGGAAUUCCUAGUGUAGCGGUGAAAUGCGUAGAUAUUAGGAGGAACACCAGUGGCGAAGGCGGCUUUCUGGACUGUAACUGACACUGAGGCACGAAAGCGUGGGGAGCAAACAGGAUUAGAAACCCGAGUAGUCC
rnacentral:rRNA from 1 species